GCAGAACGCGAAGAACCUUACCAGGUCUUGACAUGCACUAGACCGACUCUGAAAGGAGUCUUCCCUUCGGGGCUGGUGCACAGGUGCUGCAUGGCUGCCGUCAGCUCGUGUCGUGAGAUGUUGCGUUAAGUCGCGCAACGAGCGCAACCCCUGUCCUUAGUUGCCAUCAGGUAAAGCUGGGCACUCUAGGGAGACAAACCCUCUCUGAGGGUGGGAAGGUGGGGAUGACGUCAAGUCAGGAUGGCCCUUACGGCCUGGGCUGCACACGUGCUACAAUGCCCGGUACAGAGGGACGCAAUACCGCGAGGUGGAGCAAAUCCCAAAAACCGGGCCCAGUUCAGAUUGCAGUCUGCAACUCGACUGCAUGAAGCCGGAAUCGCUAGUAAUGGCGUAUCAGCUACGACGCCGUGAAUACGUUCCCGGGUCUUGUACACACCG
rnacentral:rRNA from 1 species